GAAUGGGGUGAAUCCCUCUCUCUCCU
rnacentral:tRNA from 1 species